GAUGAACGCUGGCGGCGUGCCUAAUACAUGCAAGUCGAGCAAACAGAUGAGGAGCUUGCUCCUCUGACGUUAGCGGCGGACGGGUGAGUAACACGUGGAUAACCUACCUAUAAGACUGGGAUUACUUCGGGAAACCGGAGCUAAUACCGGAUAAUAUAUUGAACCGCAUGGUUCAAUAGUGAAAGACGGUUUUGCUGUCACUUAUAGAUGGAUCCGCGCCGCAUUAGCUAGUUGGUAAGGUAACGGCUUACCAAGGCAACGAUGCGUAGCCGACCUGAGAGGGUGAUCGGCCACACUGGAACUGAGACACGGUCCAGACUCCUACGGGAGGCAGCAGUAGGGAAUCUUCCGCAAUGGGCGAAAGCCUGACGGAGCAACGCCGCGUGAGUGAUGAAGGUCUUCGGAUCGUAAAACUCUGUUAUUAGGGAAGAACAAAUGUGUAAGUAACUAUGCACGUCUUGACGGUACCUAAUCAGAAAGCCACGGCUAACUACGUG
rnacentral:rRNA from 1 species